GUCUACAGCCAGACCACCCUGAGGCACCCAAUCUUGUCUGAUCUCGGAAGCUAAACAGGGUCGGGCCUGGUUAGAACUUGGAUGGUAGAAG
ensembl:rRNA 5S_rRNA 5S ribosomal RNA